AUGAGAUACAUAUCAACAACCAAAGCAUGCUGGCGGAUAUUCCAGUUUGAUCUUCACCAUCGUGAUCCACCCGUCGAGAGACUGCCAUUCCACAUUGAAAAUGAGCAACAAGUCAUUUUUCCGGACUCGACUGACAUCGAGAAGAUAGUAAGAAGACCAGGAUCCACAAGUACAAAGUUCACUGAGUGGAUGGAGGUAAACAAAAUACACGAGGUGGGAAAAGAAUUAACCUAUGCAGAAUUCCCAUCAAAAUUUGUAUGGAAAAGUGAAAGCAAAACUUGGGAGGAGCGGAAAAGGGGCUUUGCGAUUGGAAGAAUCUACUAUGCACACCCUGCAAGUGGCGACCGGUAUUAUAUGAGAAUGCUUCUAAACACCAAGAAAGGAUGCACAUCAUUUGUGGAUAUUAGAACAGUUAAUGGAGUUGUUCACCCAACAUACAAAUCAGCAUGCCAAGCGCUUGGAUUUCUUGAUGACGAUGGUGAGUGGAUUGAAUGCAUCAAUGAAGCAUCAAGCUGGGGAUCAGGGACACAGUUACGACAACUAUUCACCACAAUUUUAUGA
rnacentral:rRNA from 1 species